CCUACGGGAGGCAGCAGUAGGGAAUCUUCCACAAUGGGCGAAAGCCUGAUGGAGCAACGCCGCGUGGGUGAAGAAGGUCUUCGGAUCGUAAAACCCUGUUGUUAGAGAAGAAAGUGCGUGAGAGUAACUGUUCACGUUUCGACGGUAUCUAAACAGAAAGCCAAGGCUAAAUACGUCCCAGCAGCCGCGGUAAUACGUAGGUGGCAAGCGUUAUCCGGAUUUAUUGGGCGUAAAGGGAACGGAGGCGGUCUUUUAAGUCUGAUGUGAAAGCCUUCGGCUUAACCGGAGUAGUGCAUUGGAUACUGGGAGACUUGAGUACAGAAGAGGAGAGUGGAAUUCCAGGUGUAGCGGUGAAAUGCGUAGAUA
rnacentral:rRNA from 1 species